rnacentral:lncRNA from 1 species
ACAGCCGCGGGAAGACAUGAGAGGCUGCUAGAAGGACUUCCCGCGGCCAGCGCCAUCACCUGCCCACGCCGCAGGGAGGUUCGUCCAGCUCCACGCCCACCCACUGGCCGCUGGCAAACUCCGUGGUCCCACAGAACCGCAGUGUGCCCGUCUUCUGGCCAUCCAGCAGCACGCGGUCUCCCAGGCGCAAGCCCAGUGCGCUAAGCAUGAGAUUGCCUGGGACGUUGUCAUAGUUGGGUAGCGUGACCUUGGGGAGGGCGCAAGAUAGUGGCACUGCCUCUUCCAGAAGCGUCCGCAGCUCCUUGGCCACCAGUGCCGCCUCUGCCUUGUCCAGGGACAUGUCCAUAGGAUCUGGGACCACCUCCGCCGGCACCUGUCCUUUUCGAUUCCUCAGCGCAGGGUUGGCGCCGUGCUCCAGCAAACAUUUGGCGGCGCCCAGGCACAGGCUGGAAGCAGCGAUGUGCAGGGCUGAGCCGUGGUUGAAGUCACUGCACGUGGAGUUCACCACUCGCGGCCUCGCACCCUUCAGCAGCACACGCACGAGGUCGGGCACAUCAAAAUAGGCCGCGUAGUGAAGCGCGUUCAUGUUGGUCCAGCGGCUGCGCAGCGUCACAUCUGCGCCCAGCGCCAGCAGCUGCUGCGAGAGGCGCACGGCUGCCGCGGGGUCCCCGACUCCGUGGGCCCCAGCUUUGCACGCAUAGUGGAGCAGUGUCAUGUCGGUCAGCCCGUCACGAUCGUUCACAUGGCAGCCUCGGCGCAGAAUCUCAUUGCCGAUGACGUCUAUCUUGUGCUGGACUUGGGGCACCCACUGGCGCACAAUGGCAAACAGCUCGGGGAUGGUGGUCUGAGGGUCAAACAGGAUCUCCUGGCACGCCGGGUCAUUGGGAUCGAAGAAGGUGAAAGCGUAGUCCUUAGGGAGGGGGGCAGGUGCCGAGGGGUGCACAACAGGCUUCUGCCGGCGCUCCUGGGUGGGGCUGGGGGCCUCGGGGACGGGUUCAUCCUCCUCCUCCUCUUCUUCCUCCUCUCCUCGGGGUGGCGGGGCCAUCGGGGCAGGAUCUGUCUUAGUCAUGGUCCUCGGUGGCCCUCGGGGGGCGGGUGCAGAGUUGGGGGCAGCCUUCAGGCAAAUCCUCGGGCAGACAGCGCUGGGGACCAAAGUGGAGACUGGGGAGACUGUGGGAGCAAUGGGGUGUCGGUGUCAGGGGACGUGAUGGGGGAGGCAAGGGAGACAGAGAGAAGGGGACGAGGCCCAGACGCCGACAGGGGGUGGGGGCGGAGAGAAAAGAAGAGAGGGCAAUGCAACCAUGGAGGCAGAGACUGGAGAGAUGUGGCCACAAGCCAAGCACUGCCUGCAGCCACCAGGAACCGGAACAGGCAAAGAAGAGAUUCUCCCCCAGAACCUCCAGAGGAGUACAGCCCUGCCGACACCUUGGUUUUGGCCCAGGAAAGCCGAUUUGGACUCCUGGCCUCUAGAACUGUUAGAAAAUAAUUUGUCUUGUUUUAAGCCACCAAGUUUGUUAGAGCAGCAUGGGAAACUAAUAGUGU